rnacentral:ncRNA from 1 species
AUAAGUCAUGAGAUAACUAGGAAUGUUAUAGGUAAAUAAGUAAAUAGUGAGAUAUGUUAGUUAGAACUAAAUAGGAAUGGAAUGAUUAAUAAGUAUUUAUUGUUGUAUAAAGGCUAGUAGGUAUAUAAGGAGUAUAUUAGUUAUAUGUAGUUAAGAGAUAUAUUUAUAUAAAUAUUUAAUGGAGGACCGCAGGGAGUCAUGAGAGGUGAGCAGGAAGGGGAGGAGAUAUUCUUUUUGUUCCAUUAUUUCUUAAUUUUGUUAAAAUUUAAGUUUGAUUCUUGCUUUAUUAUUUGAAUUUUGAAUUAUUUUAUAUGUAAGAUUUUCUUUUUUUCUAAAUGAUUUUUUAUCAGUAUUUAAUUUUAGUUUUUGUUUUCUGACAAAACUAGGUUUUUAAUAUUUAACUGACAAAAAUUGUGCCAGCUGUCGCGGUUAUACAAUUAGUUAAAUUAAAUAUUUUUGGUGUUAUAUUAUUUCUUUAUUUUAUAAUUUAAUUUAAUAUUUUAAGGUGAAAUUUUGAUAUUAUAUAAUCUUAUUGGUUGAUUACUUUAUAUAUGAAAACUAUUAAUAAACUAGGAUUAGAUACCCUAUUAUAAUAGUUGUAAAUUUGCUUUAAUAUUAAUAGUUAUGAUCUUUAAAUUAAAAGAAUUUGGCGGUUAUUUAAUCUUUCUAGAGGAACCUGUCAUGUAAUUGAUAAUCCACGAUUGAUUUUACUUUUAUUUAACUUACAUAUCGCUGUCAUUGAAUGUUUUAUAAGAAUUUAAUUUUCUUUAAUUUUUAUGAAUAUAAUGUUAGGUCAAGAUGUAGUAAUAUAAAAGAAUAGAUGGGUUACAAUUUUUAUAUAAAUGGAUUAGUAAUUGUAAUUUUACUAUAAAAUUGGAUUUAGGUGUAAUUUUUAAUAAAUAUUAAUUUUGAUUUUAGUUCUAAAUAAUGUACACAUCGCCCGUCGCUCUCAUUAUUAAGUUGGGAUAAGUCGUAACAAAGUAGUCCUACCGGAAGGUGGGUCUGGAUAUUUCAAGUUAAUUCAUUAAGUGAAGUUAUUAUUUACAUUAAUAAAUUUGUUGUGCAAUUCAAUAUAACUUGAAAUAAUUAUUUAAUUA